rnacentral:rRNA from 1 species
UACGAAGGGGGCUAGCGUUGCUCGGAAUCACUGGGCGUAAAGCGCACGUAGGCGGACUCUUAAGUCGGUGGUGAAAUCCUGGAGCUCAACUCCAGAACUGCCUUCGAUACUGAGAGUCUUGAGUCCGGGAGAGGGUGAAGUGGAACUGCGAGUGUAGAGGUGAAAUUCGUAGAUAUUCGCAAGAACACCAGUGGCGAAGGCGGCUCACUGGCCCGGUACUGACGGCUGGAGGUUGCGAAAGCGUGGGGAGCAAACAGG